CAGAUACUGUGUAAAGCAGUGGUCCCCAACCUUUUUUGACCCACGGACCGGCUUGUGUUCCCACAAAUCUCCCGUGGACGGAGGGUACUAUGCAAACACUACAUCACCGAUUUGCGCAAGAGCGGCGCAUGGAGCAAAAAAAGAGGCCAUUCAACUUAGCUGUGCAGCCAGAUGAAGGGAAAAAGGUAGUUGUCAAGCUGCAUACAUACCAGGACAGCAAGAGUCAGUGUAGAGGUACUCCAGGAAUGACAGGAAGGUAUCUGAAGAGACGCCAUGGAUGGGCACCACUCUGCUACGGGCCUCUGCAUACUUCCCACUGAACAUGGCCGCCAUGACGUCACAGCGUGCUACCAGGACUGCUCGUCUGUUCCAGAGGUCCUCUUUCCAGCUGGAGGCGGGAUAACUGGGCACCCCUGCAGCUGAUUGGCAGUCUGGCUUCUUAAAACGGAUUGAUUGUGGCUCGGAGACACCGGUUCUGGCUUCCAUGCACAGAGGAUGCGCUCGCUUGGGCGUCGUCUACUUUUUGGACAUUUAAUAGUUGUAGCGUCUUCUAGUAGGUUGUCAUGGUGCCUUUUGCCAGCUCAGCCAGUGCCUGCUGCUCCCUCCUUUUCUGGCUUUGUUGUACUUUGUGUGACUAUCAUUAAAGAGAGUAUAACUGUUUUUCGGCCUUCCACCACUGCAUCUGGGGUCCAGACCUACACAGAAUGUGACAUUGUUCCAAAAGGUUUGACAAAAACUAUGAAAAUUGAGGCAAUACUUUCUAAUAGGAAGUAAUGUAAAUCCAAUGAAUCCAUUCUAGACACCCAAUAUAGAGAAUAAAAAUAAUUUUAC